GUUUGAUCCUGGCUCAGAACGAACGCUGGCGGCAUGCCUAACACAUGCAAGUCGAACGAGACCUUCGGGUCUAGUGGCGCACGGGUGCGUAACGCGUGGGGAUCUACCAAGGGGUGCGGAAUAACUCAGAGAAAUUUGUGCUAAUACCGCAUAAUGUCGCAAGACCAAAGAUUUAUCGCCCUUUGAUGAACCCGCGUAAGAUUAGCUUGUUGGUGAGGUAAAGGCUCACCA
rnacentral:rRNA from 11 species